AGAGUUUGAUCAUGGCUCAGAACGAACGCUGGCGGCAGGCCUAACACAUGCAAGUCGAGCGCCCGCAAGGGAGCGGCAGACGGGUGAGUAACGCGUGGGAACGUGCCCUUUGGUUCGGAAUAUUCCCGGGAAACUGGGAGCAAAACCGGAUAAGCCCUUCGGGGGAAAGUUUACGCCAAAGGAUCGGCCCGCGUUAGAUUAGGUAGUUGGUGGGGUAACGGCCUACCAAGCCUGCGAUCUAUAGCUGAUCUGAGAGGAUGAUCAGCCACACUGGGACUGAGACACGGCCCAGACUCCUACGGGAGGCAGCAGUGGGGAAUCUUGGACAAUGGGCGCAAGCCUGAUCCAGCCAUGCCGCGUGGAUGACUGAAGGCCCUAGGGUUGUAAAGUCCUUUCGACGGGGACGAUAAUGACGGUACCCGUAGAAGAAGCCCCGGCUAACUUCGUGCCAGCAGCCGCGGUAAUACGAAGGGGGCUAGCGUUGUUCGGAUUUACUGGGCGUAAAGGGCGCGUAGGCGGAUUUUUAAGUCGGGGGUGAAAUCCCGGAGCUCAACUCCGGAACUGCCUUCGAUACUGGAAGUCUGGGGCACGGUAGAGGUGAGUGGAAUUCCGAGUGUAGAGGUGAAAUUCGUAGAUAUUCGGAGGAACACCAGUGGCGAAGGCGGCUCACUGGACCGUUGCUGACGCUGAGGCGCGAAAGCGUGGGGAGCAAACAGGAUUAGAUACCCCGGUAGU
rnacentral:rRNA from 1 species